UACGAAGGGGGCUAGCGUUGCUCGGAAUCACUGGGCGUAAAGCGCACGUAGGCGGAUUGUUAAGUCAGAGGUGAAAUCCUGGAGCUCAACUCCAGAACUGCCUUUGAUACUGGCAAUCUCGAGUCCGGGAGAGGUGAGUGGAACUGCGAGUGUAGAGGUGAAAUUCGUAGAUAUUCGCAAGAACACCAGUGGCGAAGGCGGCUCACUGGCCCGGUACUGACGCUGAGGUGCGAAAGCGUGGGGAGUAAACAGG
rnacentral:rRNA from 1 species